CAGUAGCCACGGUAACACGGAGGGUGCAAGCGUUAAUCGGAAUUACUGGGCGUAAAGCGCACGCAGGCGGUCUGACAAGUCAGAUGUGAAAUCCCCGGGCUUAACCUGGGAACUGCAUUUGAAACUGUCAGGCUGGAGUCUUGUAGAGGGGGGUGGAAUUCCAGGUGUAGCGGUGAAAUGCGUAGAGAUCUGGAGGGAUACCGGUGGCGAAGGCGGCCCCCUGGACAAAGACUGACGCUCAGGUGCGAAAGCGUGGGGAGCAAACAGGAUUAGAUACCCGGGUAGUCCCUGUCUCUUAUAC
rnacentral:rRNA from 1 species